rnacentral:rRNA from 1 species
GAUGAACGCUUGCGGCGUGCCUAAUACAUGCAAGUCGAGCGAACGGACGAGAAGCUUGCUUCUCUGAUGUUAGCGGCGGACGGGUGAGUAACACGUGGAUAACCUACCUAUAAGACUGGGAUAACUUCGGGAAACCGGAGCUAAUACCGGAUGAUAUUUUGAACCGCAUGGUUCAAAAGUGAAAGACGGUCUUGCUGUCACUUAUAGAUGGAUCCGCGCUGCAUUAGCUAGUUGGUAAGGUAACGGCUUACCAAGGCAACGAUGCAUAGCCGACCUGAGAGGGUGAUCGGCCACACUGGAACUGAGACACGGUCCAGACUCCUACGGGAGGCAGCAGUAGGGAAUCUUCCGCAAUGGGCGAAAGCCUGACGGAGCAACGCCGCGUGAGUGAUGAAGGUCUUCGGAUCGUAAAACUCUGUUAUUAGGGAAGAACAUAUGUGUAAGUAACUGUGCACAUCUUGACGGUACCUAAUCAGAAAGCCACGGCUAACUACGUG